AUACCAAAACUAAUAUAAUGUAAAAUAUUUUAGUCUACUACAUUUUGUUGGGAUAAAAGAUAUUCUACUAAAAGCAUGAGAAUUAAAAUGUUACAUGGCCCAAUGGCUACGUAGUCCAAUACACUUCGAAGGAGAGCCAAUUUUGAAUCAGAAAAAGCCCAAUGGUGGCUAGAAAGAAGAGAUGGCCCAAGAAGGAGAGUAAUCAUGUACGGAUUCCACGAGGCUGAGAUGAAGAAUCGAUUGAACAGAGAAGAAGAGUCGAUAAUGGAGGUUGAAGGAGGUCAAACAGAGAACCAUGUCUAAAGCAUUUCAGAAGCUCUAUGGGGAUUUGAUUGGCGAAGUCUUGCUGUUCGAUUUCAGACAGUUAGUUCAGCCUCCCGAAUCAAAGCAUCGACAGAUUUGAAUCAAUAUGGAAGCGAUUAUUACAGAGAAGAGCAUCCUAUAUGCGGGAGGAGAGGUCGUUGCAACGACGGGAUAUAUUUUCUCAGACUACCCGUCGUUGUUUCAUUCAAUUUGACUUUAAUCGUUCUCAAAAUCUCUGGCCAGUUGAUUUAAUAACUCUAAUAUAAUUAGCACAUGCAAGAAAUGAUUUUCAAGAUUUUUACACGGAUUUGCUAGUCUGAUAUGUGUGAAUGAAGAUCUGAAACAUCAGUAAGAUAAGCAAAAUGAGAAGAAACAACAAAAAAGAUCAAGUUAUCAUAGUUUAAAAGAGUUGUCUUUGCUCCCUAAGACAUACAACAUAUCAAGUUAGUUAAUAAGAAAAAGG